CGGAUUCGGUGGAGCUCUGAUCUCCCCAACUCUUGUGUGCCAUGGGACUUUGGUGCGUGCAGUGUCUUUGUGCCAGCUACAUCGUUCCCAAGGGUCACUGAGGUCCUAACCAAGACACUGCUGUGUGCAUAAAACCCUGGGCUCACAUGCUCCAUCUGGAGCAAGAGGAGUGUUACUUGUCUUCAUUCUAGCGUAGCAUUUCAGAGUCUGAAUUUUAUAUUUGUCUCUCACUUUGCAUUUGUACAGCACCUUGUAAAACUGGGCUUUUAUGCCUGCUAAACUUUUAUUCCUGAUAUUAUACAAUUAAUGUUGGAAUUAAAAAUAAUUUCAAAUUAAAUGAAUACUAAUCUGAUUGCUAACUGAAACUUAUCAUGCAUUUCAUACAAUUAUGUAUGAAAAUCAAGAUUAUGAAAAAAAAUGAUGUGAU
rnacentral:lncRNA from 1 species